GACGAACGCUGGCGGCGUGCCUAAUACAUGCAAGUCGAGCGAAGUUUUUCUGAUGCUUGCACUCGAAAGACUGCGCGGGGAGCGGGUGAGUAACACGUAUAGAACCUGCCUCAUAGACGGGGACAACUAUUGGAAACGAUAGCUUAUCCCGUAUAACAGUAUUUCGCGCAUGUCAGAUGUUUAAAAGUUUGUUAUGCUAACACUAUGAUAUAGCUUUGCGGUGCAUUAGCUAGUUGGUGGGGUAAAGGCCCACCAAGGCGACGAUGCAUAGCCGACCUGAGAGGGUGAUCGGCCACACUGGGACUGAGACACGGCCCAGACUCCUACGGGAGGCAGCAGUAGGGAAUCUUCCGCAAUGGGCGAAAGCCUGACGGAGCAACGCCGCGUGAGUGAAGAAGGACUUCGGUUCGUAAAGCUCUGUUGUUAGGGAAGAAUGGAUAUGUAGUAACUAUACAUGGAAGAGACGGUACCUAACCAGAAAGCCACGGCUAACUACGUG
rnacentral:rRNA from 1 species